UACGGAGGGUGCAAGCAUUAAUCGGAUUUAUUGGGCGUAAAGGGCGCGUAGGCGGGCCAGCAAGUCAGAUGUGAAAUUUCGGGGCUCAACCCCGAAGCUGCAUUUGAAACUACAGGUCUAGAGGGUAGGCGGAGAAAACGGAAUUCCACAAGUAGCGGUGAAAUGCGUAGAUAUGUGGAAGAACACCGGUGGCGAAGGCGGUUUUCUAGCUUAAACCUGACGCUAAAGCGCGAAAGCAAGGGGAUCAAACAGG
rnacentral:rRNA from 1 species